rnacentral:rRNA from 1 species
AACGGGAGGAGAACAACAGGGAUUGCCCCAGUAACGGCGAGUGAAGCGGCAACAGCUCAAAUUUGAAAUCUGGCUCCUAGAGCCCGAGUUGUAAUUUGUAGAGGAUGCUUUUGAUGCGGUGCCUUCCGAGUUCCCUGGAACGGGACGCCAUAGAGGGUGAGAGCCCCGUCUGGUCGGAUGCCAAAUCUCUGUAAAGCUCCUUCGACGAGUCGAGUAGUUUGGGAAUGCUGCUCAAAAUGGGAGGUAUAUGUCUUCUAAAGCUAAAUAUUGGCCAGAGACCGAUAGCGCACAAGUAGAGUGAUCGAAAGAUGAAAAGCACUUUGAAAAGAGGGUUAAAUAGUACGUGAAAUUGUUGAAAGGGAAGCGCCUAUGACCAGACUUGGGCCCGGUGAAUCAUCCAGCGUUCUCGCUGGUGCACUUUGCCGGGCACAGGCCAGCAUCAGUUUGUCUUGGGGGAAAAAGGCUUUGGGAACGUGGCUCCUUCGGGAGUGUUAUAGACCAUUGCAUAAUACCCUGGGACGGACUGAGGUUCGCGCAUCUGCAAGGAUGCUGGCGUAAUGGUCAUCAGCGACCCGUCUUGAAACACGGACCAAGGAGUCGUCUUCGUAUGCGAGUGUUCGGGUGUAAAACCCCUACGCGUAAUGAAAGUGAACGCAGGUGAGAGCUUCGGCGCAUCAUCGACCGAUCCUGAUGUUCUCGGAUGGAUUUGAGUAAGAGCAUACGGGGCCGGACCCGAAAGAAGGUGAACUAUUCCUGUAUAGGGUGAAGCCAGAGGAAACUCUGGUGGAGGCUCGCAGCGGUUCUGACGUGCGAAUCGAUCGUCAAAUAUGGGAAUGGGGGCGAAAGACUAAUCGAACCUUCUAGUAGCUGGUUUCCGCCGAGUUUCUCUCUCGCAAGA